ACGGCCAUACCAUGCUGAAUAUACACCGAAGUCAAGCAUCAUUGGGCGCGGUCAGUAGUUGGGUGGGUGACCACCUGGGAACACCGCGUGCCGUU